rnacentral:lncRNA from 1 species
CGUGAGAUUUUAGCCCAGUGGUCAGUCAUGGCUUGCCCCCCCCGGAUCAGUCCAUUAGCCUUCUCGUGGCUGUCUUCCACAAGUACUCUGGCGAGGAAGGUGACAUCACACCCUGAGCAAGAAGGAGCUGAAGGAGUUGAUCCAAAAGGAGCUCACCAUUGGCACUAAGCUGCAGGAUGCUGAAAUUGCAAGGCUGAUGGAUGAUCUGGACUGUAACAAGGAUCACGAUGUAAACUUCCAGCAGUAUGUUGCCUUCCUGGGGGCCUUGGCUUUGAUCUACAGUGAAGCUCUCAAAUAAAAUGAGAAGGUAGAGAUGCCUUCUGCGGGUCUAUCUCAGUGAAAUCCAGUCGCGGAUAAUUAUACAAUAAAUAUUUUGUUUUUUGUUAUGCCUAAAAAUAUAUAAUGAAAGAAAGACAGACAGAAGAAAGAGAGAUAGAAAGAAGAAAAGAAAGAA